CUUCAGAAACCCUUUUAAGCUAAUUUUUCCUGACAUUUCCAACAGGCCUUUGAAAAUGCAGUGACUGAGAGAGCAACCAUGUGCUCCAUAACAUGCUCCCGAGUAGGGGGCGUUACUACAUCUAAUCUCCACCUUCUGCCUUGGACCUGAAUCUUCCGGGCAGCAAACAGCUAAGAAGAUUAAGAAGCAAAUGCUGGAAGGCCGGAUGUGUGCAGUGAGGAGAAGGCAUUGGUGAAAAUCAUGGUGACAAAACAUUAGCUGUGCUGAAAACAUUAGCACUGGAAAAGACGUUGGUGACCCUCACCAAAAUUCCUCAUCAACUGAAGCCCAGGGAGAGGCUCAGGGAUUCUCUCAAGCUGGUUGAUUGUCAAACGACGUAUAUAAGAUGUGGCCACAAUGCAUUCUGAGCUGGUUGGAAAUGAUGGUCACCUCUGGACGCUGGUCACCUGCUCAGAGAUAACGGGGCAGCCGACUGCAGGACCCCCCAUCACCUUGCGGUAUUGGUGGCUCUGCCUAUACCGGCCAGGGGGACACGCUAGUCACUGAGCAAGGAAGGGGAAGGUCCGCAUAGGACUGAAACGGAUGGGGUGAGUGCUGGUUUUAUAACCCAAAGCCAAGAGCUCUCUGCCUGUUCAGAUUCCAGAGCAGGCAUUUCAUCUGUCAUUUGAGAACAUUGCCACGUGGACCUUAGUGCUGCAGUGGUCGCUCCCGG
rnacentral:lncRNA from 1 species